rnacentral:rRNA from 1 species
UGAGGAAUAUUGGUCAAUGGGCGCAAGCCUGAACCAGCCAUCCCGCGUGAAGGAAGAAGGCCCUACGGGUUGUAAACUUCUUUUCUGUUUGAAGAAUAAGCUCGUCGAGACGAGUGAUGCCGGUAGGACAGGAAUAAGCAUCGGCUAACUCCGUGCCAGCAGCCGCGGUAAUACGGAAGAUGCAAGCAUUAUCCGGAUUUAUUGGGUUUAAAGGGUGCGCAGGUGGUUUAAUAAGUCAGUGGUGAAAGUCUGGCGCUUAACGUUAGGAUUGCCAUUGAUACUGUUAGACUUGAAUAUGGAUGAGGUAGGCGGAAUGUGUAGUGUAGCGGUGAAAUGCUUAGAUAUUACACAGAACACCGAUUGCGAAGGCAGCUUACUAAUCCAUCAUUGACGCUGAGGCACGAAAGCGUGGGGAUCAAACAG